rnacentral:rRNA from 1 species
UCCUUAGAUGUCCUGGGCCGCACGCGCGUUACACUGAUGCAUUCAACGAGCUUAUAACCUUGGCCGAGAGGCCUGGGCAAUCUUGUUAACGUGCAUCGUGAUAGGGAUAGAUUAUUGAAAUUAUUAAUCUUGAACGAGGAAUUCCUAGUAAACGCAGAUCAUCAAUCUGCAUUGAUUACGUCCCUGCCCUUUGUACACACCGCCCGCCGCACCUACCGAUUGGAUGGUCCGGUGAAGCCUCGGGAUUGUGGUUCUUGCCGCUUUAUUGUGGCGUGACCGCGAGAACUUGUCUAAACCUUAUCAUCUAGAGGAAGGUGAAGUCGUAACA